rnacentral:rRNA from 1 species
AAGCUCGUAGUUGAAUUUCGGGAUCAGUAGGUUGGUCAUGCCUAUGGUAUGUACUGGCUUUACUGGUUCCUCCUUCUUGAUGAUCUGUAAUGUCAUUAAUUUGGUGUUGCAGGGAGUCAGGACUGUUACUUUGAAAAAAUUAGAGUGUUUAAAGCAGGCAUACGCUUGAAUACAUUAGCAUGGAAUAAUGAAAUAGGACGUUCGAUCCUAUUUUGUUGGUUUCUAGGAUUGACGUAAUGAUUAAUAGGGAUAGUUGGGGGCAUUAGUAUUCAAUUGUCAGAGGUGAAAUUCUUGGAUUUAUUGAAGACUAACUACUGCGAAAGCAUUUGCCAAGGAUGUUUUCAUUAAUCAAGAACGAAGGUUAGGGGAUCGAAGACGAUCAGAUACCGUCGUAGUCUUAACCAUAAACUAUGCCGACUAGGGAUCGGAUGAUGUUAUUUUUAAUGACUCAUUCGGCGCCUUACGGGAAACCAAAGUGUUUGGGUUCCGGGGGGAGUAUGGUCGCAAGGCUGAAACUUAAAGGAAUUGACGGAAGGGCACCACCAGGGGUGGAGCCUGCGGCUUAAUUUGACUCAACACGGGGAAA